AUAAAUACUUUGAUGGAGAGAAAAAUAUCACUGUUAUUCAAAGAGAGCUAGCAUAUUGGUGAAACCUAGUACUAACAAGAUAUAAUAUACACUCCUAAGUAGAUUCGUUGAAAAAUAAAAAGUAGGCGAAUACGAAAGCCCAUCGUUAUAAGGGAUAGGACUGUUAGGUCUGAUUGAAGAGAUGACUUUUUUGUCAUAACUAGGGUGGUACCGCGGAAAAACUUUUCGUCCCUAUA
rnacentral:ncRNA from 1 species